rnacentral:rRNA from 1 species
UACGUAGGGUGCGAGCGUUGUCCGGAAUUAUUGGGCGUAAAGAGCUCGUAGGCGGUUUGUCACGUCUGCUGUGAAAUCCCGAGGCUCAACCUCGGGCCUGCAGUGGGUACGGGCAGACUGGAGUGCGGUAGGGGAGAAUGGAAUUCCUGGUGUAGCGGUGGAAUGCGCAGAUAUCAGGAGGAACACCGAUGGCGAAGGCGGGUCUCUGGGCCGAUACUGACGCUGAGGAGCGAAAGCGUGGGGAGCGAACAGG